GUGAAUUUCAUCAGUUCUAUCAUCCCAAUCAUAAGCUUUCCACCUUAGAUUUUCUUACCUGAUUAUAUCUCUGAUUCCUCUUUACUAUGUGUUUGCGUUCUGUUUUGGUCACAUGUUGAUUUUUUGUUACUGAGCCGAACAAUUGUUUGCAUUGUUUACACCCGCCUAGGUCUCCUUUUCUAUGUUAAUGAUUUUAAUAAGUACCUGACUAAAUUAUAGAGUUCCUAAUGAUGUUGCCUAUCGAUCUCUUUAGGUGUCAAGAAGCCCAUCAAGUGAGCAGGACGUAGCAAAGCGUCUGUAAAGGAACCAAACUAAACAAAAAGGUCAAACAAGUGUCUUCUUCGUUUUCAUAUAAUCAUUGCCUACUGGCUACUGCUUCUUCAAUUUAAUUUGUUCAGUAGUUUACAAGGAUUAAACUUUUUGGCUGUCCAAAACUUUUUCAUCUGUGAAAUUUACUGAAGGUUAGAAGAGUAGAUUUUUUGUCAGUUAUUGUUUUCAUCAUUAUAGUUUCUACCUUUGUGCUAAUGCUGGACUUUUUUAUGAUUCAAAGGUAAUAUUUCUGUAGGACUUUCAAGAUGGAGCAUCCUAAGGAACAAAUAUAUUGCUGCUUUGCUGUGAGUGGCUCCUUCUCACCUUGAAGGUUCUUUUGUAACUUAGCCUCUUGAUCUUGAUUGGCACUUUGGCGUUGAAUUUGAAUGCAAAAACAGAAGAAGGCAUCUUAUGUUGCUAAUGCUGAAAAGUGCAAGGUUGACUACCACAAAUACCUGGAGGAAGGCCGAAAGGAAGAUGAGGCCAUUCAAUUAUAUUCUCAGAGGUUAAUGAUGAAGACGAUGCUUAGGAUGGUAGUUAAGAGAAAAUCUGGCAUGGCAGCUCCCGAGUAGUCCUCACAAAGUCCACGACUGCUCUUCUUCCAAAGGCUAAUGAAGUGUCGCGGUUGAAACUUCUUCGAACCAUGACGAGUCAGAGAAUUUGAUCAUAAGCAAAAAUGUAACAUCUGUUUGUUGGAGGAGGAUAUGGCGAAGCGUCACUUGACAAACUGCUUAACGAAGUGGUUGGAGAAGAGGUAUCAGACAUAUAGUUUCACUUGACAAACUGCUUCAAAAAGGGGGAAACGGAUCGAUCAAAACUUAGUUGACCAAAGGUGUGAAAAAAGACUCGGAGGAUGUCAACAAGAUCUUUGAGUUGAUGUGUCAGGUUUUUUUUGCUUCCCAAUAGAUGCAAAAAACCAGAAAGGUUACAUUCUGAGGACAGUGAAGUGGAGAAUAACGACAUAUGUAUCGAAAUCCUUGCCAGGUAUACAUGUUAAAUGAAAUCUCAAAAGAAUCAAGGAUUUCAGACUAUUAGAGACAAGUUCUUGGGGCUUAGUACUGACAGCAAGAUCUGCUUCCUGAGCUUUGUUGUGCUCCCGGAGAAUCAAGAAGUCAACAAGAUGAUGCUCUUUAUUGGUGUAUUGUGGAAGCCAUCCUUCCUGGUAAAGUCAAACCCCAAGAUGCUGUGAAAGACAUUCUCAAAGAGUUCAUGGAAAAUAUUUGAUUGAGCCUGUUGAAAAUUAAUGCAAAGUUUGAGCCAAAUAGCUUUAUGACACUUUUGUGCAUUCCUCAAUGGUUCUUAUCACAGAGUAGAUAACUAUUUAGUGUGUAUCAGAAAGAAAAGAAGCAAAGGAUGUAACAUUUAGACUUCAAAAAUAUAGAAUACAUAGUACCUACAAAA